rnacentral:rRNA from 1 species
AUUGAACGCUGGCGGCAGGCCUAACACAUGCAAGUCGAACGAGUGGCGGACGGGUGAGUAAUGUCUGGGAAACCGCCCGAUGGAGGGGGAUAACUACUGGAAACGGUAGCUAAUCCCGCAUACCAUCGGAUGUGCCCAGAUGGGAUUAGCUAGGAGGUGGGGUAACGGCUCACCUAGGCGACGAUCCCUAGCUGGACGGAGAGGUUGACCGGCCACACUGGAACUGGGACACGGUCCAGACUCCUACGGGAGGCAGCAGGGGGGAAUAUUGACAAAUGGGGGCAAGCCUGAUGCAGCCAUGCCGCGUGUAUGAAGAAGGCCUUCGGUUUGUAAAGUCCUUUCAUCGAGGAGGCGUUACUCGCAGAAGAAGCACCGGCUAACUCCGUGCCAGCAGCCGCGGUAAUAC